rnacentral:rRNA from 1 species
GAACGCUGGCGGUAGGCCUAACACAUGCAAGUCGAACGGCAGCACAGUAAGAGCUUGCUCUUACGGGUGGCGAGUGGCGGACGGGUGAGGAAUACAUCGGAAUCUACUUUUUCGUGGGGGAUAACGUAGGGAAACUUACGCUAAUACCGCAUACGACCUACGGGUGAAAGCAGGGGAUCUUCGGACCUUGCGCGAUUGAAUGAGCCGAUGUCGGAUUAGCUAGUUGGCGGGGUAAAGGCCCACCAAGGCGACGAUCCGUAGCUGGUCUGAGAGGAUGAUCAGCCACACUGGAACUGAGACACGGUCCAGACUCCUACGGGAGGCAGCAGUGGGGAAUAUUGGACAAUGGGCGCAAGCCUGAUCCAGCCAUACCGCGUGGGUGAAGAAGGCCUUCGGGUUGUAAAGCCCUUUUGUUGGGAAAGAAAAGCAGCAGGUUAAUACCCCGCUGUUCUGACGGUACCCAAAGAAUAAGCACCGGCUAACUUCGUG